rnacentral:rRNA from 1 species
AUGCCGUCGUCACCGCCGGCGGCGGCACCACGAAGCCGUCGAUAUUCCAAGAGAAGAGCACGGGCGUUCCACGUCACGGUGUUCAAGUACACGCCGGUGCCGCUGCCGGAGAGGGACUGGGCGGAGCUGCACCCGGACCUGAUCUCGCGCAUCUUCCGUAGGCUGGACCAGGCCGAGCUCCUGCUCGGCGGCGUGACGGGCGUGUGCCGCUCCUGGCGUCGCGUCGCGCGGGAGGAGCUGGAGCUGUGGCGCCGCAUCGACCUGAGCGGCGGCCUGUGGUACGCUCCGGGGUCCUACCCCCCCAUGUUCAACCUGGAGACCAGGUCCAUGGUGCGGAAGGCCCUGCGGCUCAGCGCGGGGCAGUGCGAGACCCUCGUGUGCGAGCACGUCGACGACGACACCCUCCUCUUUCUCGCCGAGCGGGCCCACUCGUUGAAAAGCCUUCAUCUCAUUGUGACCCUUAUCUCUGACAAAGGAUUUGCAAAGGCAAUCAAGAUGUUGCCUCUUCUUGAGGAGCUCGAAAUUACGCUGCUUUCAAAAACGUAUACAUUGGAUGUGGUUGAAAUUGCUGCUAGAGCCUGCCCACUAUUGAAGCAUUUCAGACUUGUCACUGGAAGGUACUAUGAAAAUGGUAACAAGGUAGCAUUUGCGGUUGCCAGGAUGCGUAAGUUACGUUCCUUGCAUCUUGUUGGUUUUGUCCUCGACAAAGAAGGGCUAACAGCCAUCCUUAACAACUGCCAUGAUCUAAAGUACCUAAACAUGCGAGAUUGUGGCUCUCCUAUGGAUUACAACCUACGCGCGAGAUUUUCCUGGAUAACCUUCGAUGAGCACGAGUACUGGAGUGACUAUUACAAUGACACUCAUUAUGCGUAUUACCGCUUCAAGCCUACACUAUGUGAUUGUUGUGAUCACGUGCCCUCUUCAAAAUACGACGACGAUGACUAUGAGGCUUAUCACUACAAUCUUGGCGAUGGUGAUGGUGAUGAUGUUGACAAUGCAGAUCUCGACAAGCAUGAGAAGAUACUUGACAUCAAGAGCAUGCGUAGUAACUAA